GCCGCUGAGCCUGCGUGUCCGGAACCUGUGCUCCGCAACGGGAGAGGCCACAACAGUGAGAGGCCCGCAUACUGCAAAAAAAAAAAAAAGUACUUGAAUGAACUCUAGUACAAUUGCAGUAAGACAGUUUUCUCCUUACUAUAAGUUAACGCUGCCAAGUUUGGGAUUUUCUUUUUAGUACUGCUGUAUGUACCAAAGAAAAUUUCUUAACUCAUUCAUGUUAAGCAGUGUUACAGCAGUGAUUUAUGGGAAUCAAUUUUCAGAGUAGAGCUCUCUAUGAAAUGUACACAGAGUCCGCACCCCGACACACACACACACACACACACACACGCCCCUUUCUAUUUUUGAAAUAAAAUUUACCUUUAUUUUACCUUAAUUGAAUCAUUCCCACUGCAGUGUGGGAAUGAUUCAAUUAAGGUUUUAUGCAUACGUUUGCUAUACAUUGCACAGAUUGGUACUGUGAUAUGCAACAGCUUUAAGUGAUAUGCUUAUCCUGUAAUGUGGUUUUUUUUGUUUUUUUUUUUAUUUUACUUUUAACUUUGAUGCUUUGUGGCUGAUUCCAGUGCAGCAUCAAACCCACAGGAUUAUGGUUGAGUCUCCAUUCAGUCUGAUGCUCUCUUUGUACAUUUUGACCCUUUACUUCUGUCAAGAGGUCAUUUUGAGUGAUAUUUAAAAUUUUUUUGCCUUGAGUUUGCAGUCUUCAUUUUAAUCUUCCUGUUUGCUUUUUGCUCAGGGUAACUGUUGCCACAUUUUAAGAUAUAUUAAAAUAAUUUUGUUUGCUUAUACAUUGUGUGUUCCUGGGCCAAAGGAAUAACCUCUCUGAUGUGUGAAAUCAGAGUUAAGUAAAGGAGCAAGAACUGAAGCAUUUGGGAUAAAUAGAGUUCCCAAAAUAAAAUUUCCAAAUGGAAUGUCCUGCACUAAUUCUCUCUACAUGUUCGAAAUGUCAGUGUCUUAUAUUUCCCCCUUUUGGGUUUCUAGAACUGUUUGGAAUGCUGUGCCUGUGGGUGAGAGACAUAAUUAACUUGAUGAGUUUAAUAAGAAAAAGUUAUCUUUUGUCAGUGAGUCCAUUUCCCUCAUUCUUAUGUAAUCAGAAUAGUUACUAAGAGAACAGUCAUUAUGUAUUAGCUCUAGAGUUUAAUAGAGCUUUAUAACUGUUGCAACAAGUUGGUUGAGAUGUAUAUAUUAAGACAUGCCUUGUUGGUAUAGUUAGGCCAGUGUGGUCUUGCACUUAUCUUUCUAGUGACAUCUUAAAGGAUGAGUGACAUUUAAAUUUUUGAAGAUUUCAUUUUACUGGAUUUGUAAUCUUCUGUUCAAUGUUUUUAUUAAAAAUAUUACACAAUUGAUUCUUCUUAACUGAACUAUAUAGGUUAAGAAAGCCUUUAAACAUUUAAAAACUAGUAAAAUUUCUUAUGACUUGCCUUUUAAUUUGAAAUAAAUGUGAAUGAACUGCCCUAUGAAUAGUGAAUAGUAAUACUUAAAAAAAAAAUAAUCUACUGGAAUUUGAUGGUUUUGUUUUUACAUUUGCAGUUUUCUACUCUCAACUCUAGUUGGUUUUGUAGCUUUUCUUAUGUUUAGCUUUACAGAUUGGAACCUCCACUUCUUAGCUUUUCUGUACAUCUGGUGCAGCAUAUUGGCUAAUCCACUGUGCAUAAUAACUGUUAGCGAGCCCAUUCUUUCUCAUUCAUUCUUCAGUCCUAGAGGUCUCAGCAUAA